rnacentral:rRNA from 1 species
GACGAACGCUGGCGGCGUGCAUAACACAUGCAAGUCAAGGGGGUCAGUAGCAAUACUGGCAACCGGCGAACGGGUGCGUAACACGUAAGCGACCUACCUCGAUGUGGGGCAUAGCCGGCCUAACGGCCGGGUAAUUCCGCAUAAGAUCCCGAUGAGGCAUCUCAUUGGGAUGAAACCAGUAAUGGGCGGUCGAGAGGGGCUUGCGGCCUAUCAGCUAGUUGGUGAGGUAACGGCUCACCAAGGCUACGACGGGUAGCUGGUCUGAGAGGAUGGCCAGCCACAUUGGGACUGAGAUACGGCCCAGACUCCUACGGGAGGCAGCAGUGGGGAAUCUUGCGCAAUGGCCUAACGGCUGACGCAGCGACGCCGCGUGAGGGA